rnacentral:rRNA from 1 species
GGCUGCGCUUCGUAGCGUCCCUGAGAGGGGGUACGGCCACAUUGUGACUGAGACACGGCCCAGAUUCCUACGGGAGGCAGCAGUAGGGAAUUUUCGGCAAUGGGGGAAACCCUGACCGAGCAACGCCGCGUGAGCGAAGAAGACCUUCGGGUCGUAAAGCUCUGUUGUAAAGGAAGAACGGCGCAUACAGGAAAUGGUAUGCGAGUGACGGUACUUUACCAGAAAGCCACGGCUAACUACGUGCCAGCAGCCGCGGUAAUACGUAGGUGGCGAGCGUUAUCCGGAAUCAUUGGGCGUAAAGAGGGAGCAGGCGGCCGCAAGGGUCUGUGGUGAAAGACCGAAGCUAAACUUCGGUAAGCCAUGGAAACCGGGCGGCUAGAGUGCGGAAGAGGAUCGUGGAAUUCCAUGUGUAGCGGUGAAAUGCGUAGAUAUAUGGAGGAACACCAGUGGCGAAGGCGACGGUCUGGGCCGCAACUGACGCUCAUUCCCGAAAGCGUGGGGAGCAAAUAGGAUUAGAUACCCUAGUAGUCCACGCCGUAA